rnacentral:rRNA from 15 species
CCCGCUGAGUUUAAGCAUAUAAAUAAGCGGAGGAGAAGAAACUUACGAGGAUUCCCUUAGUAACGGCGAGCGAACCGGGAUCAGCCCAGCUUGAGAAUCGGGCGGCUACGUCGUCUGAAUUGUAGUCUGGAGAAGCGUUCAUAGCGACGGACCGGGCCCAAGUCCCCUGGAAAGGGGCGCCGGGGAGGGUGAGAGCCCCGUCCAUGUAAUAUCCCUCACUUUUAAAAAUUAUUAAUAAAGAUUUAUUUAUAAAUCGGAGGACCUAUAUGUAAAUAUAGAAAUUUCAAAGACUAAACUAUUAACUUACAAAAAAAAAAUAAAACCGAAAGU